CACACUGCCAAGAAAAGCUUCUAGCCAGAGAUGACAUACCCGUACCGCAAACCGACACAGGUAGUCGAGUGGAGAACACUAAGGUGAGCGAGAGAACUCUCGUUAAGGAACUCGGCAAAAUGACCCCGUAACUUCGGAAGAAGGGGUGCUAGCCAAGAGAUUGGUUAGCCGCAGUGAAUAGGCCCAAACAACUGUUUAUCAAAAACACAGGUC
rnacentral:ncRNA from 1 species